CAACCAAACUUCAUUCAUUCAAAGCAUUCUGGUCAAAAAGCUUGUUGUAUCCUGGAGAGUCAUUAUUUGCAAAUUCCCAUAAUAGGGUGAUACAGGGAGGUCUGUUUUUGGGUGAGUUUAUUGCAAUAUGUUUCAUGUUCUGGGUUUGCGAUGUAUGCUUCAGGUGUUUCCUUCCUGUUAAGGAUGUUUUUAGGCUAUGGCCUUGUCUUCUUAACCCAGAUUCUCCUUAAAGAAAAUCUUGACUUGCUUUGUUUGAAGCAUAUAGGGUAUUUUGGAGGUAUGUAGUGGGUUAAUCAAGCUUUUCUGGCCCUCUAGAAAAGAAGUAUGAAUGACUCUGCUAUUCCUAUUUUAAUGCAUAUUUGAGAUGGUAACCGGGCUGACAUGCUAAUGAACAGAAUGCAUGGAUGGGAACAGGAACUGGAAUUGGCUGUUGCUGAUAUUUGAUUUUGUCCGAACCAAAUGUUGUCUCGUUAUUUUCAGCGGAUUGGUCUGUGAAUGUUUUUGAAAAGGAAGACGCAGUCCUGGGCAUUUCGGGAUAGGCUUUGAUCUGUAGUUUAGUUACCGCAUAAGUUUUCUGGAUUGUAUCUACCCCCAAAUUGAGCAAAGCCUUGUAGCAGCACUUCGUAUCUCUGCUUGAUGUAAUAAACGAAGUCUUGCUAUAA